rnacentral:rRNA from 1 species
UACGAAGGGGGGCUAGCGUUGCUCGGAAUGACUGGGCGUAAAGGGCGCGUAGGCGGUUUGCACAGUCAGGCGUGAAAUUCCUGGGCUUAACCUGGGAACUGCGUCGGAUACUGGUUGGCUUGAAUCCGGGAGAGGGAUGCGGAAUUCCAGGUGUAGCGGUGAAAUGCGUAGAUAUCUGGAGGAACACCAAUGGCGAAGGCAGCUCGCUGGAACGGUACUGACGCUGAGGCGCGAAAGCGUGGGGAGCAAACAGGG